UUGGCAUAGAUGGCAUGAUUUGAAGGUGCUCCUGGCUCCUAAUGCUCUUUCAUGGAUCUACUGUGAGGCCUAAAGUAGCCUCCAUUACUUACUACGUUAAGUGAAGACACUGUCUCCAGAAGGUCCCAGUUGAAAAGACUUAACUGAUAGAUGAAAAAAUAAAAAGCAGAUUUCCGUUGGCUAACCUCAGCCUUAUCUUCCUCAUUUCUGUUUCCUCUUGAAGACACCAAGGGCCCUUCAAAACACACGACGUUCCUGCUCACAGCAUAAAGCCCAGUUCCCUCUGGACUCUGCAGUUUAGCCCAUCACCAGGGAACCUGUGCCUCCUCUGCGACCAAGGCAUCACUUCAGUAAUAGCUCCAGGGACUAAGCCAAGGUGCCUGUGGGAGGCUCUGGAAAGCUCAUUGAACACUUUCCUAACAACUCUGCCAGGGCCACAUCUCCUAGGAAGAUCUCUCCUCCCCACUGAAGCCCCUGGGCCGGCCUCCUGCAGUGCCACGCUCCGUGUAUUUGACAAGCUGAGUUGGACACUCCAUGUGGUAGAGUGUCAGUUUGUCAAAUACCCCAAGUGCGGCACAUGCCUAGCAGCUUCAGGCCAGGGCAGUUGGGAUACGACAAACAGACUACCAACUGGAUAAAAGAACACAUGCCAAACAUCAAAUAAGCUCUCACAAGUUAUUUUCGGUGACUUUGAGGGAAUGGAAGCAUUGUAUCUGAGGGUACCAGUGGAAAAGUGAGACAGUGCUGGGAGCCAUAGCCCUGGGCAGUGUCUAUACAUAUAGUGGGAGCCUGAGAGGGGUACAAUAGUCUUGAAAAGGUAUUCAGGGCCCAGGGAUUAAAGUGCUGCUUGAUUAAUUAUUUUCUUCCUUCCUGUUCCCUUCCAGAGUCUCCCAGGAAGGACACUAGAAUUCUUACACAAGCAUCAUGGCAUGGCUUAGAAACCCACUUUCCGGACACUCAGCCUUGGCUCCUAAAUACACUUUGACCUUAGCCUAUCUCUUUUUUUCCCUCAUGCGUUUUCUCCUUCCGGGAACACCAUCUCAAUUUUUUUUCUGCCUAUCCAAUUGUUUCCCAUAUGUCCUGGCCCAGCCAAAGUCCAGUCUUUCCAGGGACUUUUGAAAGUCAACCUGUUUUCUUCUUUAUUCUCAAAGCACAUCUUGCCUGGGUCCUUGUACCCUUUUAUCUCCUACUGCUUAAUGACAGCCCUUCAAUUGUUAGUGAACUUUUCCAGAGGAUAUUUUUUAAUUGCCCACUAGAUUGUGUGCUUCUAGAGGACAAGAUUGUGUUUCCUUGAUUGUUAUCUCUCCAUUCCAUCCCUACCCCAGAUCCCAGCAUAAUACUCUGGUUACAGAAAAAAACUUAAUAAAUGUUUACUGAUUGA